AUUGAACGCUGGCGGCAUGCUUUACACAUGCAAGUCGAACGGUAACAGGUUAGGCUGACGAGUGGCGAACGGGUGAGUAAUGCAUCGGAACGUGCCCGGUCGUGGGGGAUAACGCAGCGAAAGCUGCGCUAAUACCGCAUACGAUCUGAGGAUGAAAGCGGGGGACCGUAAGGCCUCGCGCGAUCGGAGCGGCCGAUGUCAGAUUAGGUAGUUGGUGGGGUAAAAGCUCACCAAGCCAACGAUCUGUAGCUGGUCUGAGAGGACGACCAGCCAGACUGGGACUGAGACACGGCCCAGACUCCUACGGGAGGCAGCAGUGGGGAAUUUUGGACAAUGGGCGAAAGCCUGAUCCAUCAAUGCCGCGUGCAGGAAGAAGGCCUUCGGGUUGUAAACUGCUUUUGUACGGAGCGAAAAGGUCUCCUCUAAUACAGGGGGCUCAUGACGGUACCGUAAGAAUAAGCACCGGCUAACUACGUGCCAGCAGCCGCCGCAG
rnacentral:rRNA from 1 species